CCUACGGGAGGCAGCAGUGGGGAAUAUUGGGCAAUGGGCGCAAGCCUGACCCAGCAACGCCGCGUGAAGGAAGAAGGCUUUCGGGUUGUAAACUUCUUUUGUCAGGGAAGAGUAGCAGACUGUACCUGACGCCUAAGCCACGGCUCACUCCGUGCCAGCAGCCUCUGUAAUACGGGGGAUGCAAGCGUUAUCCGGGUUUAUUGGGUUUAACGGGUGCGUAGGGUUUGAGGUAAGACAGCGGUGAAAUGCCCCCGCGCCACGGGGUGAAGUGGCAUUGAUACUGCCUUGCUGGAAUGCGUAUGCCGUGGGAGGAAUGGGUGGUGUAGCGGUGAAAUGCAUAGAUAUCACACAGAACACCGAUUGCGAAGGCAUCUAACGAAGCCGCGAUUGACGCUGAUGCACGAAAGCGUGGGUAUCAAACAGGAUUAGAUACCCGAGUAGUC
rnacentral:rRNA from 1 species